rnacentral:rRNA from 1 species
UACGAAGGGUGCAAGCGUUAAUCGGAAUUACUGGACGUAAAGCGCGCGUAGGUGGUUCAGUAAGUUGGAAGUGAAAUCCCCGGGCUCAACCUGGGAACUGCUUUCAAAACUGCUGAGCUAGAGUACGGUAGAGGGUGGUGGAAUUUCCUGUGUAGCGGUGAAAUGCGUAGAUAUAGGAAGGAACACCAGUGGCGAAGGCGACCACCUGGACUGAUACUGACACUGAGGUGCGAAAGCGUGGGGAGCAAACAGG